AUUGAACGCUGGCGGAAUGCUUUACACAUGCAAGUCGAGCGGCAGCGCGGGGGCAACCCUGGCGGCGAGCGGCGAACGGGUGAGUAACAUAUCGGAACGUACCCCGUCGUGGGGGAUAACACAGCGAAAGCUGUGCUAAUACCGCAUACGACCUGAGGGUGAAAGCGGGGGAUCGCAAGACCUCGCGCGAUGGGAGCGGCCGAUAUCGGAUUAGCUUGUUGGUGAGGUAAAGGCUCACCAAGGCGACGAUCCGUAGCUGGUCUGAGAGGACGACCAGCCACACUGGAACUGAGACACGGUCCAGACUCCUACGGGAGGCAGCAGUGGGGAAUUUUGGGACAAUGGGGGGCAACCCUGAUCCAGCCAUUCCGCGUGAGUGAAGAAGGCCUUGGUCUGUAAAGCUCUUUUGUUGAGGAAGAAAUGACGCGUGAGGAAAUGCUCGCGUCUUGACGGUACCUCAUGAAUAAGGG
rnacentral:rRNA from 1 species